CUCAAUUACAUCGAAAAUAAUAUGCCCAAUGUAUGACCUACACACUAUUUUGAUGUUACAGUGCUGUAAAAUAGACAUUUAAAUUUCCGAUUUUUAAGUGUGAAUUUCCAUAGAUGGUUUGAUGGGUCCAUGUUCCAUUUUGGACCAUCUUAGCAGGUUGUUUUUUUCCAACUAUCCCAUAAAAGCAUUAGGCAUACUAUUUCUUAAAGAAGACAUCCCAGGGUAUUUCAAAAGGCAUAUUUUGAAUCUUAGCGUGGGAUAAUUU